CGUAAGCACUAUACUUCGUUCUUCGUAUAAUAUAAUUUUAAAUGAUAACAUAGUAAUAUUUCUGCAAUAAAAUGCUUUUUUUAUUUAUUAUUGUACUAGCAAACCAAUUAACUAAUUUGAACAGCCUGGAAGCUCCCAAGGGUAUGAAAGUUUCGUUCCUGGAGCCGCUAGGGUUUUAUGUGGAAUGGGAACUGGUUCCUAGAACUAUUGAGGAUCGCAUCUCUGGAUAUAAGGUUAAACUAUGGAAGAUUAAUGAAGAAAUCUCCCGAAACUUUAAACUGUUAUUUGGUGAACAAGUCCCAGGAUUAGAAAAGAAAGAUGUAUCACAAGAGCAGUUUGAAAACCACUACACUCCGAAGAACGAACCGACAGUAUUCGAUGUAACUAAUGGUUAUCUUAAAGCCAUAAAGAUUAAGGAUAUCAAAGAAGAGACACUAUAUGAAGUCCGCGUUGCUGCCGUGAGAGGCUCAGAAAUUGGUCCCAUGUCGGACCCGUUGAGAGUCAAAGUCAUAUUCCGGAACACAACUACUGUGAUGCUCGCCAAAAGAAGCUUAAAUUAUUGUGAGCUAUCAACAUUAAACGGUCUUGGUGAUCGUUCAGUAAAUAAGGACGAUGCCACGUUAUAUCACACUCGUUUGUAGAUGGGGUCGAGGACACUCAUUGUAAAUUUAUUAAUCAGGCAUUAUAUACAAACGACAUUCACUUGUAAAUUUAUAAAUGAGACCGAGGUUAUUAUAUACAGGCGACACCUACUUGUAAAUUUAUUAAUGAUGCCGAGGUUAUUAUAUACAGGCGACACCUACUUGUAAAUUUAUUAAUGAGACCGAGGUUAUUAUAUACAGGCGACACCUACUCGUAAAUUUAUUAAUGAUGCCGAGGUUAUUAUAUACAGGCGACACCUACUUGUAAAUUUAUUAAUGAUGCCGAGGUUAUUAUAUACAGGCGACACCUACUUGUAAAUUUAUUAAUGAUGCCGAGGUUAUUAUAUACAGGCGACACCUACUUGUAAAUUUAUAAAUGAGACCGAGGUUAUUAUAUACGGCGACACCUACUUGUAAAUUUAUUAAUGAUGCCGAGGUUAUUAUAUACAGGCGACACCUACUUGUAAAUUUAUAAAUGAGACCGAGGUUAUUAUAUACAGGCGACACCUACUUGUAAAUUUAUUAAUGAUGCCGAGGUUAUUAUAUACAGGCGACACCUACUUGUAAAUUUAUUAAUGAGACCGAGGUUAUUAUAUACAGGCGACACCUACUUGUAAAUUUAUUAAUGAUGCCGAGGUUAUUAUAUACAGGCGACACCUACUUGUAAAUUUAUAAAUGAGGCCGAUGUUAUCAUAUACAAACGACACCUAUUUGUAAAUUUAUUAAUGAGACCGAGGUUAUUAUAUAUAGGCGACACCUACUUGUAAAUUUAUUAAUGAUGCCGAGGUUUUUAUAUACAGGCGACACCUACUUGUAAAUUUAUUAAUGAUGCCGAGGUUAUUAUAUACAGGCGACACCUACUUGUAAAUUUAUUAAUGAUGCCGAGGUUAUUAUAUACAGGCGACACCUACUUGUAAAUUUAUAAAUGAGACCGAGGUUAUUAUAUACGGCGACACCUACUUGUAAAUUUAUUAAUGAUGCCGAGGUUAUUAUAUACAGGCGACACCUACUUGUAAAUUUAUUAAUGAUGCCGAGGUUAUUAUAUACAGGCGACACCUACUUGUAAAUUUAUUAAUGAUGCCGAGGUUAUUAUAUACAGGCGACACCUACUUGUAAAUUUAUUAAUGAUGCCGAGGUUAUUAUAUACAGGCGACACCUACUUGUAAAUUUAUAAAUGAGACCGAGGUUAUUAUAUACGGCGACACCUACUUGUAAAUUUAUUAAUGAUGCCGAGGUUAUUAUAUACAGGCGACACCUACUUGUAAAUUUAUAAAUGAGACCGAGGUUAUUAUAUACAGGCGACACCUACUUGUAAAUUUAUUAAUGAUGCCGAGGUUAUUAUAUACAGGCGACACCUACUUGUAAAUUUAUUAAUGAUGCCGAGGUUAUUAUAUACAGGCGACACCUACUUGUAAAUUUAUUAAUGAAACCGAGGUUAUUAUAUACAGGCGACACCUACUUGUAAAUUUAUAAAUGAGGCCGAUGUUAUUAUAUACAAACGACACCUAUUUGUAAAUUUAUUAAUGAGACCGAGGUUAUUAUAUACAAGCGACACCUACUUGUAAAUUUAUUAAUGAUGCCGAGGUUAUUAUAUACAGGCGACACCUACUUGUAAAUUUAUAAAUGAGGCCGAUGUUAUCAUAUACAAACGACACCUAUUUGUAAAUUUAUUAAUGAUGCUGAGGUUAUUAUAUACAGGCGACACCUACUUGUAAAUUUAUUAAUGAGACCGAGGUUAUUAUAAACAGGCGACACCUACUUGUAAAUUUAUUAAUGAUGCCGAGGUUAUUAUGUACAGGCGACAUUCACUUUUAAAUUUAUUUAUCAGGCCAAACCAUACCUACUUGUAAAUUUAUUUAUGAUACCAAACGACACUCACGAGGUUAUGAUAUGAUAUGCAAAAAACAAUACUUUUAAAUGAUAAAAAAAUGUGUUUUAGAAUAUGCCAUGUUGUAAGAAAACUUUGACUAUAAAUAAUGAUUCGUAAUA